GACGAACGCUGGCGGCGUGCUUAACACAUGCAAGUCGAACGGAACGGCCCUGCUUUUGUGGGGUGCUCGAGUGGCGAACGGGUGAGUAACCCGUGAGUAACCUGCCCUUGCACUUCGGAUAAAUUCAGGAAAAUGGGGCUUAUACCGGAUAGGACUUCCUGCUGCAUGGUGGGGGUUGGAGAGUUACGGCGGUUGGGGAUGGACUCGCGGCUUAUCAGCUUGUUGGUGGGGUGGUGGCUUAACAAGGCUUUGCCGGGUAGGCGGCCUGAGUGGGUGAGCGGCCAGAUUGGGACUGAGACACGGCCCAGACUCCGGCGGGAGUCAGCAGUGGGGAAAAUUGCAAUAUGGGCGGAAGGCGGAAGCAGUGACGCCGCGUGCGGGAUGACGGCCUUCGGGUGGUAAACCGCGUCCGGCUGUGAGGAAGCGGGAGUGACGGAAAUGGGUAAAGAAGCACCGGCUAACUACGUG
rnacentral:rRNA from 1 species